rnacentral:rRNA from 1 species
UACGUAGGGGGCAAGCGUUGUCCGGAAUCAUUGGGCGUAAAGCGCGUGUAGGCGGUCCGGUAAGUCCGCUGUGAAAGUCGGGGGCUUAACCCUCGGAUGCCGGUGGAUACUGUCGGGCUUGAGUACGGAAGAGGCGAGUGGAAUUCCUGGUGUAGCGGUGAAAUGCGCAGAUAUCAGGAGGAACACCAAUUGCGAAGGCAGCUCGCUGGGACGUUACUGACGCUGAGACGCGAAAAGCGUGGGGGAGCAAACAGG